rnacentral:rRNA from 1 species
CGUCUCGUGGGUUUUGAAGAGUUUCAAAGCCUUCGGAUUCGCGGGAUUGGGAUCUCUUGGUGUACUUUUUCGUACGGUUAGUCAACAUCGGUUUUGUAUGUCAUAAAAUGACUGGAGGAAUGUAGCUUCGAUCUCGUAUUGAAGUGUUAUAGCCUUUGGUAGAUGUGAUGUUUGAGACCGAGGAUUGCAACGGAUACCCUUCAGGGCUAUUCGUCUGAUCUCUGAUACGUUGCCUUGAUGUUGAAAGCUCGCUUAUGAUGUUAGGGUAUUACGGUCAAAAGGUUAGAACGAAUUACAUUCGUUAAGGAUGUUGACGUA